rnacentral:rRNA from 1 species
CCCCAUACUCCUACGGGAGGCAGCAUUUAGGAAUAUUUGUCAAUGGGCGGGCUCCUGAACCAGCCACUUCUCGUGAGGGAUUACUUCCCUAUGGUUUUUAAACCUCUUUUUCCUGGGAGCAACUUUCCGCACGUGUUCUUUUUGGAGAGUCCCCUUAGAAAAAUCCUCUUCUAACUCCUUUCCCGCAGCCGCUUUAAUACGGAGGAUUCUCUCGUUAUCCUGAUUUAUUGGGUUUAAAGGGUGCGUAGGCGGAGGCUUAAGCAAGGGGGAAAAUUGGGGGGAGCAACCUCGUCGAGCCGUUGAAACUGGGUGCCUUGAGUGGGCGAGAAGUAUGCGGAAGGCGUGGUGUAGCGGUGAAAUGCAUAGAGAUAAAGCAGAACUAAGAUUGCGAAGGCAGAAUACCGGCGCCCAACUGACGCUGAAGCACGAAAGCGUGGGUAUAGAACAGGAUUAGAUACCCGUGUAU